rnacentral:rRNA from 1 species
UACGUAGGGGGGCAAGCGUUGUCCGGAUUUAUUGGGCGUAAAGAGCGUGUAGGCGGCUUUGCAAGUCCGUUGUGAAAACUCGAGGCUCAACCUCGAGACGCCGGUGGAAACUGCAAAGCUAGAGUCCGGAAGAGGAGAGUGGAAUUCCUGGUGUAGCGGUGGAAUGCGCAGAUAUCAGGAGGAACACCAACGGCGAAGGCAGCUCGCUGGGGACGGUACUGACACUGAGGCGCGAAAGCGUGGGGAGCAAACAGG